rnacentral:tRNA from 1 species
CAGAAAAUAGUUUACUUUAAAACAUUAAUUUUGGAAAUUAAAGAUCAGACACACUCUGUUUUCUGA